UACGUAGGGUGCGAGCGUUAAUCGGAAUUACUGGGCGUAAAGCGUGCGCAGGCGGUUCGUUGUGUCGGUGGUGAAAUCCCUCGGCUUAACCGGGGAACUGCGUCCGAUACUGGAUGACUUGAGUUCGGGAGAGGGAUGCGGAAUUCCAGGUGUAGCGGUGAAAUGCGUAGAUAUCUGGAGGAACACCGGUGGCGAAGGCGGCAUCCUGGACCGACACUGACGCUGAGGAGCGAAAGCCAGGGGAGCAAACGGG
rnacentral:rRNA from 1 species